rnacentral:rRNA from 1 species
AACGAACGCUGGCGGCAUGCCUAACACAUGCAAGUCGAACGAGACCUUCGGGUCUAGUGGCGCACGGGUGCGUAACGCGUGGGAACCUGCCCUUAGGUUCGGAAUAACUCCCCGAAAGGGGUGCUAAUACCGGAUAAUGUCUUCGGACCAAAGAUUUAUCGCCUUUGGAUGGGCCGCGUUGGAUUAGCUAGUUGGUAGGGUAAAAGCCUACCAAGGCGACGAUGCAUAGCUGGUCUGAGAGGAUGAUCAGCCACACUGGGACUGAGACACGGCCCAGACUCCUACGGGAGGCAGCAGUGGGGAAUAUUGGACAAUGGGCGAAAGCCUGAUCCAGCAAUGCCGCGUGAGUGAUGAAGGCCUUAGGGUUGUAAAGCUCUUUUACCCGGGAUGAUAAUGACAGUACCGGGAGAAUAAGCUCCGGCUAACUCCGUG